rnacentral:misc_RNA from 1 species
CAAAACUAUUCAAUAAAAAACUAGAGAGAUUACUCCCUCUCCUCCUCCCUCUCAGGUUGCGAGCCUGGUAACUGUACCGCGUCGAACUCCCAAAAUGACCAAGGUAUACCCUAACAUCGGCGCCGCAGUCGUCGCUGCUGAGCAGACGACGCUCAAGUCAUAUGCUAAAUUAGAGGCAGCUGAUGCUGUUGUGUUAACUGUGUGGAAGAAGUCUUUGCUUUUCAACUGCAACGGCUUUACUGUGUUCGAUGCCAAAGGGAACCUCGUUUUUAGAGUUGAUAAUUACAUGGCAGGCUCCGGUAGUAAGGGCGAGAUAGUUCUCAUGGACGCUGGCGGCAAGCCUCUCUUCACCAUCCGCCGCAAGAGGCUGAGCCUGGCGGAUAACUGGCUGGUAUACGACGGAGAAACGGUGGUGAAUCCACUGUUCUCGGUGAAGAAGCACGUGAACAUCCUUAAUAAAAAGUGUUUGGCUCACGUGAGCUCAGGCAGUUGCAGAACUAGUAGCAAUGGAAAGAACGUCGUGUACGAAAUAGAGGGAUCGUACGCCCAAAGGAGCUGCGCGGUGUACGACGAGAACAGGAGGAGGAUGGCGGAGAUCAAACAGAAGGAGGCAGUGGGUGGUGUGGCUUUUGGAGUCGACGUGUUCCGGCUCAUUGUAGAGCCAAAAAUGGAGACGUCGGUGGCCAUGGCGAUCGUCAUCCUCCUUGAUCAAAUGUUUGGUUC